rnacentral:rRNA from 1 species
UACGUAGGGUGCAAGCGUUGUCCGGAAUUAUUGGGCGUAAAGAGUUCGUAGGCGGUUUGUCGCGUCCGUUGUGAAAGCUUGGGGCUCAACCCCAAGUCUGCAGUGGAUACGGGCAGACUAGAGUCAGGUAGGGGAGAACGGAAUUCCUGGAUGUAGCGGUGAAAUGACGCAGAUAUCAGGAGGAACACCCGUGGCGAAGCGGCUCUCUGGGACGGUACUGAC